CCCGUCGUAUUUCAGUUGUCAUACAUGACUGGCUAGUGACGUAACGUAUCUCCUUUCCGGCAUCCUGAAGGAGGAUCUGUGGCUGGAGAGGCGUUGUUUGAAUGUGUUACCAGCGCAACUGAUGUAUCUCUGUGGUCGGGUGUUGGCAGUGCUGCGUCUGUUGGUGUUGCUUCGAUUUGAUGAUAAACUGUAAA